rnacentral:rRNA from 1 species
UACGUAGGGUGCGAGCGUUGUCCGGAAUCAUUGGGCGUAAAGAGCGUGUAGGCUGCUCGGUAAGUCCGCUGUAAAAGUCAAAGGCUCAACCUUUGAAUGUCAGUGGAUACUGCCGGGCUAGAGUCCGGAAGAGGCGAGUGGAACUCCUGGUGUAGCGGUGGAAUGCGCAGAUAUCAGGAGGAACACCGGUGGCGAAGGCGCCACUCUGGGCCGAAACUGACGCUGAGGAGCGAAAGCGUGGGUAGCAAACAGG